rnacentral:rRNA from 1 species
CAGUCGCCGCGGUAAUACGUAGGGUGCAAGCGUUAAUCGGAAUUACUGGGCGUAAAGCGUGCGCAGGCGGUUUGUUAAGACAGAUGUGAAAUCCCCGGGCUCAACCUGGGAACUGCAUUUGUGACUGGCAAGCUAGAGUCUGGCAGAGGGGGGUGGAAUUCCGCGUGUAGCAGUGAAAUGCGUAGAUAUGCGGAGGAACACCGAUGGCGAAGGCAGCCCCCUGGGCCAACACUGACGCUCAUGCACGAAAGCGUGGGGAGCAAACAGGAUUAGAUACCCCAGUAGUCCCUGUCUCUUAUAC